UUGACGGGACCCGCACAAGCGGCGGAGCAUGCGGAUUAAUUCGAUGCAACGCGAAGAACCUUACCAAGGCUUGACAUAUAGAGGAAACGUCUGGAAACAGUCGCCCCGCAAGGUCUCUAUACAGGUGGUGCAUGGUUGUCGUCAGCUCGUGUCGUGAGAUGUUGGGUUAAGUCCCGCAACGAGCGCAACCCUCGUUCUAUGUUGCCAGCACGUAAUGGUGGGAACUCAUGGGAUACUGCCGGGGUCAACUCGGAGGAAGGUGGGGAUGACGUCAAAUCAUCAUGCCCCUUAUGUCUUGGGCUUCACGCAUGCUACAAUGGCCGGUACAAAGGGCUGCAAUACCGUAAGGUGGAGCGAAUCCCAAAAAGCCGGUCCCAGUUCGGAUUGAGGUCUGCAACUCGACCUCAUGAAGUCGGAGUCGCUAGUAAUCGCAGAUCAGCAACGCUGCGGUGAAUACGUUCCCGGGUCUU
rnacentral:rRNA from 1 species